rnacentral:rRNA from 1 species
GAUGAACGCUGGCGGCGUGGAUAAGGCAUGCAAGUCGGGCGAGAGAAAUUCCGUCGGGAAGGACUCUAGCGGCGGACGGGUGAGUAACACGUGGGUAACCUGCCUCAUAGAGGGGAAUAGCCUUUCGAAAGGAAGAUUAAUACCGCAUAAGAUUGUAGUAUCGCAUGAUGCAGCAAUUAAAGGAGUAAUCCGCUAUGAGAUGGACCCGCGUCGCAUUAGCUAGUUGGUGAGGUAACGGCUCACCAAGGCGACGAUGCGUAGCCGACCUGAGAGGGUGAUCGGCCACAGUGGGACUGAGACACGGCCCAGACUCCUACGGGAGGCAGCAGUGGGGAAUAUUGCACAAUGGGGGAAACCCUGAUGCAGCAACGCCGCGUGAGUGAUGACGGUCUUCGGAUUGUAAAACUCUGUCUUCAGGGACGAUAAUGACGGUACCUGAGGAGGAAGCCACGGCUAACUACGUGCCAGCAGCCGCUGUAA